rnacentral:rRNA from 1 species
CCUACGGGAGGCAGCAGUGGGGAAUAUUGCACAAUGGGGGGAACCCUGAUGCAGCAACGCCGCGUGGGUGAAGAAGUACUCCGGUAUGUAAAGCCCUGUCAGCAGGGAAGAAAAUGACGGUACCUGACCAAGAAGCCCCGGCUAACUACGUGACAGCAGCAGCGGUAAUACGUAGGGGGCAAGCGUUAUCCGGAUGUACUGGGUGUAAAGGGAGCGUAGACGGCAAGGCAAGUCUGGAGUGAAAGCCCGGGGCCCAACCACGGGACUGCUUUGGAAACUGUGUUGCUGGAGUGCAGGAGGGGUAAGCGGAAUUCCUAGUGUAGCGGUGAAAUGCGUAGAUAUUAGGAGGAACACCGGUGGCGAAGGCGGCUUACUGGACUGUAACUGACGUUGAGGCUCGAAGGCGUGGGGAGCAAACAGGAUUAGAUACCCCUGUAGUC